rnacentral:rRNA from 1 species
GGUGAACGCUGGCGGCGUGCUUAAGACAUGCAAGUCGAACGGCAGUCUUCGGACUGUAGUGGCGCACGGGUGAGUAACGCGUAACUGACCUACCCCAAAGUCGCGGAUAACUAUUCGAAAGAAUCGCUACUACGUGAUGUGCUGUCAGAUUGUGUUCUGCCAGUAAAGAUUGAUUGCUUUGGGAUGGGGUUGCGUUCCAUCAGCGAGUUGGUGGGGUAAAGGCCCACCAAGGCGCCGACGGAUAGCCGGCCUGAGAGGGUGGCCGGCCACAGGGGCACUGAGACACGGGUCCCACUCCUACGGGAGGCAGCAGUUAGGAAUCUUCCACAAUGGGCGAAAGCCUGAUGGAGCGACGCCGCGUGAGGGAUGAAGGUCUUCGGAUCGUAAACCUCUGAAUCAGGGACGAAAGACACUUCGGUGGGAUGACGGUACCUGAGUAAUAGCACCGGCUAACUCCGUGCCAGCAGCCGCGGUAACAC